CUGCAAAACUUAGAUCAGAAAUAUAAAUCCUUCGGACCUUCACCUCGUCCCUGUAGUUAAACAGCAGUUCAACAAGUGAAUAGUGCCUUGAAGGCUGACGUCCAAACCUCGAUCUUGGCUCUUUCUGAUCCAAAUCCAAGUUUUACAGGACUCAUGUCAUAUUUUGCGAUUUUGGAAAUUCAGAAGAACAACUCUCUCUCUUUCCACCCCUCUCAGAAGUAAUGUGGAAGCGUGGAAAUAAAUCAAAGGCUUGGACUGGGCCUCGAAAGAGUCAUGUUACUGUUUUUAUCACAUCUCUUUUUCUGAUUCUUGUAGUUUUGAUAUUGUCAUUGCGGGAUCAUGGUAAUAAAACCACAUCAUCAUUUGGACUUGUGAAGCAGAAAUGGAAUAGCUCUAUGCCUCAGGUGCAAUUUCAUCCAACUAUAGAGGUUCUGAAUGGAACAGAACUCGUAUGGCAGAUACCUGAUACACCUAAGGCGGUUAUCUUUGUGGCUCAUGGGUGCAAUGGCAGAUCUGUUAACUUUUGGGACAGGUCUUCUACCUGCCCUAGUUGCAUUGGUUUACCUGAAGAAAGGCUAAUCAUCCUUAAUGCUCUUGCUCGAAAGUUUGCCGUUCUUACCAUUUCAAGCGCAGCAAGAUGCUGGACAUUUAGGGAGGAAAAAUUCAUUGUCAAAGAUAUUAUAAAACAGUGGGUAAAGAAAAAUAGGCUUCAGCAGUUUCCUCUGGUGGCUUUGGGGGCCUCCUCUGGAGGGUACUUUAUUUCUGUUCUUGCCACCGAGUUGAAGUUUAGUAGUCUUACACUUAUGAUUGCUGAAGGCAUAUUUGAUAAAAUUCAUAUCACAGGGGAGUACCCUCCUACUUUAUUUGUGCACAUGCCUAAAGAUCUACAUAGGCAUUCUAAGAUAAAUAAAAAUUUGGAGCUACUGAAGAAUAAAGGUGUUGAUGUGGCAGAGAUUGAGUGCAUGGAGUUCCCUUUGUCUCCACAAAUUUUAGCAGACAGAAUCCAAGGUAUUGAUCAAACUGUUUCUGAAAAAUUGUUUGAGCUUUUUCAGGACAAGGGCUUCAUUGAUGAAAGUGGAUAUAUGAGGAAUGAUGGGCGUGCAACGAAUUGGAAGAAAGCUCUCAGAGAGAGUAGAAUUCAUUUGCCAGAUCAGCGUUUGGAACAACACAUCCAGGAGGAAUUAAAUCUUGCAUUUGCUUACCAUGAAAUGACUAGCUUGCAUUGUGAACAGAUCUUUGAAUGGUUUGAAUCUCAUAUGAGCUGAUCAGAACCAUCUGGUAAACAUUAUCCUCAGUUUUUUCUGGUAUAGAUUGUGGCCAGAAUAUGAAGCAAUUUAAGAUGCGGAGCUGAUUAAUAAUUGUAAUUCUUGAAGCAAUCAGAAUUCAAGUCAAUCAAAUGAAAAUGAAAAGCCAUGGAGUAUAACCAAAUGCCAAUACAGUCCCCAAGCUAGACGCCUGCAUGCUGAAGAGACUCUGUAAUGGAUGAAUCCAAUAAUGCUCUGAUUCAAGAUUCGGUCUAAUUCAUAUACCAGUCCAGACUCCACUCUACCAUUUAUAAUUGGAGUGAAAGGUAUAUGUUAAAGAUGUAAACUGAUACCUUGUCCGGUCUGGAUCCCUUUUUGUACGCUUUUGUGAAGCAUACUCUGUUAAUAAAUUAGAUAUCUGGAUAUCAAUUUUUUGUCUCAA